rnacentral:rRNA from 1 species
CGGAGUGGCGGACGGGUGAGGAAUACAUCGGAAUCUACUCUGUCGUGGGGGAUAACGUAGGGAAACUUACGCUAAUACCGCAUACGACCUACGGGUGAAAGCAGGGGAUCUUCGGACCUUGCGCGAUUGAAUGAGCCGAUGUCGGAUUAGCUAGUUGGCGGGGUAAAGGCCCACCAAGGCGACGAUCCGUAGCUGGUCUGAGAGGAUGAUCAGCCACACUGGAACUGAGACACGGUCCAGACUCCUACGGGAGGCAGCAGUU